rnacentral:rRNA from 1 species
CGUAACAAGGUCUCCGUAGGUGAACUUGCGGANGGAUCAUUACACAAAUAUGAAGGCGGGCUGGAACCUCUCGGGGUUACAGCCUUGCUGAAUUAUUCACCCUUGUCUUUUGCGUACUUCUUGUUUCCUUGGUGGGUUCGCCCACCACUAGGACAAACAUAAACCUUUUGUAAUUGCAAUCAGCGUCAGUAACAAAUUAAUAAUUACAACUUUCAACAACGGAUCUCUUGGUUCUGGCAUCGAUGAAGAACGCAGCGAAAUGCGAUAAGUAGUGUGAAUUGCAGAAUUCAGUGAAUCAUCGAAUCUUUGAACGCACAUUGCGCCCUUUGGUAUUCCAAAGGGCAUGCCUGUUCGAGCGUCAUUUGUACCCUCAAGCUUUGCUUGGUGUUGGGCGUCUUGUCUCUAGCUUUGCUGGAGACUCGCCUUAAAGUAAUUGGCAGCCGGCCUACUGGUUUCGGAGCGCAGCACAAGUCGCACUCUCUAUCAGCAAAGGUCUAGCAUCCAUUAAGCCUUUUUUUCAACGUUUGACCUCGGAUCAGGUAGGGAUACCCGCUGAACUUAAGCAUAUCA